rnacentral:lncRNA from 10 species
GCCGCGCGCAACCGCGCCCGCCGCACAGCGCCGGCCGCCGAAGGUUUGCCUCCCAGGAAGCAGCAAGCGCCUGGGCGCGGGCAGGGAGGGGAGGGGAGUUACCUGCCCAGCGUCAGGUCCGCGGAGGGAGGCUGAUUCCGGCUCGAACCGCGCCUCCCCGAGACAAGGUGCAGCGCUGGAGGGGGCGGGAGUGGAGACGGGUUACAACAAGUCCCAAGUGGUGGCACGCCAAACCCCGAACAGCCAGAAAGCGCUCGGAACCUGUCUGAACUCAAACACCCUGCUCUCUCCCAGCGGAGUAUGAAAAAGCCUUUCUUUCCUGCCCGCCCUCGGGGCUACGGGGCAAUUACAAGUCCCGACACCCUGCUCCUGGUCUGGGGCGAGGAGCGAUCCCGGAGGACAGCGACGCUCACCUGGGAAGAAGGCGGAUCUAGGCCGAGCGGGGCCGUGGUCCCGUCCUCGCUUUUCCCUGGGCUCAAGAAUGCCUGGAGGAGAGGCCUGGGGGCCGCGGGUGAGAGCAAGGGUUGUAGCACCUUCGAGAGUGUGGGGCGGAUUCAGCCCACAGUAGACAGAGAAAAAGAGAAAACAACAACAAAAAUGAAGCAAGAGUAAACUGCCAACUCCAACUGCCUUUCUGGAAGGCCUAAUUUGAAGAUGUCUGAAAUUCUGUAUCACUGGCUCCCAGACAUAUCAUGUUUAUUUGUACAUCACACCUUUGCCCACCUCUGCUCAGUGGACCUCCAGCCUAAAAUGCCUCCCUUGUUCCUCUGUCUCACUUCAGCUGUUAUUGAAGUCUCCUGGUACAAUGUGACAUUUCCAGCGUCUUGUUUUCCAAUCAGAUCAGUGGCUCUCAGUGGACCAACUGAUAAGGAACAUUUGGAAAAUGUUACGAUGAUUGAGGGCUGUACUGGUAUUUGGUGGGCAGGGAAUGACAAUGUCCUGUGAUGUAUCCAUCAUAAUGGAAAAUUAUCUGAUGUCUUGGGCAAAUAACAGCAGUCCUGCCAGACAAAAUGAAGGUGAAAAAUUCAUUUAUAAUUGCCUAAGUUCAGAGCUUCUCUCUGUUUUACAUACAAGUACAAGAAAUGUUUGGCACAGUUUUAAUGUAUACUGAAUUAUAGGAAUCCAAUUACAAUAUAUUUUGCUUAACAUAGACAUCUGCUAAGAAUUAUUCAUCAUUUUGUAGAUCACAGCACUACGUAACUGCUUCAGAGAUAUAAUAAAACUCAUCAGUCUUCCUUAGCAUCUGUAGGUCAGUCAUCUCACAUCUCACAGCUUCUUCUGCCUUCUGGUAUAUUUGUGUAUGAAUGUUUAUAUACUACAACAAAUAGCAUUUUUAUAAAUUCCUUUUAUUUACUUUAUAAUCAGGACAUAACAUUACUUUUAAAAGUUAUAUGUAGGUUAAAUUACAUUAUUAAUAAAUUUCAUUGUUUUAGUGUAGCAAGACAAUGUUACAAAAUAUUUCUUUAAAACCAAGAAGGGGCAUUGAGCCUGGGAGUUGAGAACUAUAGAACCAUAUUGUAUGCAUUCAUGGGAGAAAACGACUGGAAAGGGGACAAGGUGAAGUGGAAAACUAGAAUGUAUUAAGAAUUUCCUUUAAUCCAUCUUGAAUUGAUUUUUGUAUAAGGUGUAAGGAAGGGAUCCAGUUUCAGCUUUCUACAUAUGGCUAGCCAGUUU